UACGUAGGGGGCAAGCGUUGUCCGGAUUUAUUGGGCGUAAAGAGCGUGUAGGCGGUUUGGUAGGUCCGCUGUGAAAACUCGAGGCUCAACCUCGAGACGCCGAUGGAAACCCCCUGGCUAGAGUCCGGAAGAGGAGAGUGGAAUUCCUGGUGUAGCGGUGAAAUGCGCAGAUAUCAGGAAGAACACCCGUGGCUAAGGCGGCUCUCUAGUACGGUACUGACGCUGAGACGCGAAAGCGUGGGGAGCGAACAGG
rnacentral:rRNA from 1 species